UGCAGUCGAGCGGAACGAGUUAUCUGAACCUUCGGGGGACGAUAACGGCGUCGAGCGGCGGACGGGUGAGUAAUGCCUAGGAAAUUGCCCUGAUGUGGGGGAUAACCAUUGGAAACGAUGGCUAAUACCGCAUGAUGCCUACGGGCCAAAGAGGGGGACCUUCGGGCCUCUCGCGUCAGGAUAUGCCUAGGUGGGAUUAGCUAGUUGGUGAGGUAAGGGCUCACCAAGGCGACGAUCCCUAGCUGGUCUGAGAGGAUGAUCAGCCACACUGGAACUGAGACACGGUCCAGACUCCUACGGGAGGCAGCAGUGGGGAAUAUUGCACAAUGGGCGCAAGCCUGAUGCAGCCAUGCCGCGUGUGUGAAGAAGGCCUUCGGGUUGUAAAGCACUUUCAGUCGUGAGGAAGGUAGUGUAGUUAAUAGCUGCAUUAUUUGACGUUAGCGACAGAAGAAGCACCGGCUAACUCCGUGCCAGCAGCCGCGGUAAUACGGAGGGUGCGAGCGUUAAUCGGAAUUACUGGGCGUAAAGCGCAUGCAGGUGGUUUGUUAAGUCAGAUGUGAAAGCCCGGGGCUCAACCUCGGAAUUGCAUUUGAAACUGGCAGACUAGAGUACUGUAGAGGGGGGUAGAAUUUCAGGUGUA
rnacentral:rRNA from 1 species